CCUGAGUCCUCUCCCCUGAGUCCAUUGUCACAUCCCCUGACUCCUCUCCCCUGAGUCCUCUCCCCUGAGCCCAUUGUCACAUCCCCUGACUCCUCUCCCCUGAGUCCUCUCCCCUGAGUCCAUUGUCACAUCCCCUGACUCCUCUCCCCUGAGUCCUCUCCCCUGAGCCCAUUGUCACAUCCCCUGAGUCCUCUCCCCUGAGUCCUCUCCCCUGAGUCCUCUCCCCUGAGCCCAUUGUCACAUCCCCUGAGCCCUCUCCCCUGAGCCCAUUGUCAC
rnacentral:lncRNA from 1 species